AAGUCGUAACAAGGUUUCCGUAGGUGAACCUGCGGAAGGAUCAUUAUUGAAUAAACUUGGUUGGGUUGUUGCUGGCUUUUCGGAGCAUGUGCACACCUAGCGCCAUUUUUACCACCUGUGCACUUCUUGUAGAUUUGGAACACCUCUCGAGGAAACUCGGUUUGAGGAUUGCUAUGCGAAAGCUAAGCUUUCCUUGCGUUUCAAGUCUAUGUUUUUAUAUACCCCAUAAGCAUGUUUUAGAAUGUCAUUAAUGGGCUUUAUUGCCUCUAAAUUAAUACAACUUUCAACAACGGAUCUCUU
rnacentral:misc_RNA from 1 species